UGUUUGUUUGGGUUUAUUCUAGCCCCUUAAUAUAUAAUGUACAUAAGUUCAUCGAAUAUGAACUCCGAAACAUAUAAAAUUAAAAAAAUUAAAAAAAAAUAUUUACAAGACUAACCAAUAUAAAAAAGAAGAUGUGCUAUGAUUGCCAAUGAGACAACUAUCCACUAAGACCAAACUGACACAGACAUUUACAACCAUAGGUCACCGUACGGCCUUCAACAAUGAGCAAAGCCCAUACCGCAUAGUCAGCUAUAAAAGGCCCCGAUAAGACAAUGUAAAACAAUUCAAACGAGAAAACUAACGGCCUUAUUUAUGUAAAAAAAUUUAAC
rnacentral:lncRNA from 1 species